rnacentral:rRNA from 1 species
GAUGAACGCUGGCGGCGUGCCUAAUACAUGCAAGUCGAGCGAACAGACGAGGAGCUUGCUCCUCUGACGUUAGCGGCGGACGGGUGAGUAACACGUGGAUAACCUACCUAUAAGACUGGGAUAACUUCGGGAAACCGGAGCUAAUACCGGAUAAUAUAUUGAACCGCAUGGUUCAAUAGUGAAAGACGGUUUUGCUGUCACUUAUAGAUGGAUCCGCGCCGCAUUAGCUAGUUGGUAAGGUAACGGCUUACCAAGGCAACGAUGCGUAGCCGACCUGAGAGGGUGAUCGGCCACACUGGAACUGAGACACGGUCCAGACUCCUACGGGAGGCAGCAGUAGGGAAUCUUCCGCAAUGGGGGAAAGCCGGACGGAGCAACGCCGCGUGAGUGAUGAAGGUCUUCGGAUCGUAAAACUCUGUUAUUAGGGAAGAACAAAUGUGUAAGUAACUAUGCACGUCUUGACGGUACCGAAUCAGAAAGCCACGGCUAACUACGUG